rnacentral:rRNA from 1 species
GACGAACGCUGGCGGCGUGCCUAAUACAUGCAAGUAGGACGCAGUCGCGAACGGGUGAGUAACGCGUAGGUAACUACCUGUGAGAGGGGGAUAACUACUGGAAACGAUAGCUAAUACCGCAUACUAGUAGAAGGACCUGCGUUGUAUUGGCUAGUGGGUUGGGUAAGGGCCUACCUAGGCAACGAUACAUAGCCGACCUGAGGGGGUGGUCGGCCACACUGGGAAUGGGACCCGGCCCAGACUCCUACGGGAGGCAGCAGGUGGGAAUCAUCGGCAAUUGGGGGAACCCUGACCGAGCAAAGCCGCUGGAGUGGAGGAGGUUUUCGGUGCUUAAAGCUCUGUUGUUAAGGAAGCGGUACUUAACCAGAAAGGGCCGGCUAACUACGUGCCAGCAGCCGCGGUAAUUC